CAGGCGCAGGGCUCCGCCAGACAAGCGUACUGACCAGCCACAGUUUACAGGUGACUGGCCCCUUUUGUACCCUUGUCUCUCUACCCCGCCUCUUUGUUCCUCCCUGCUCCCUCUUCCCCUGCACAUUGCCUCCUCAGCUGGCAUAGUCCCACUGACCCCUCCAACAUCCUGGACCCUCAGUUUUGUCCAGCUCCAGGUCUGCACUUUGGCUGACCAUGGGCAAGUUGUUUGCAGCUGUGCUCCUCUGUGCCACAUCCUGUGUCUCGACUUCUCAAGGCCUCUGCUGUCCUACCAGUUUAACACCCUAUGAAUAGGCUGAGUACAGCCCUGCAAGAGGCAUAGCCACAUCCAUGGACCUCUGCGCAGGAUGACUCAGCCAUGGUGCAACAUGAGGGUAAUUGUUCUGCUGAAGAGCAAGGUUCAGGGAGAAGAGUGGAAGUAUAAGGUGCUGGAAGGUCUGUGUGGGUGACAUACCAAUGUAUCUGUGCAUGCAGAUAGCCAGCCCUGACUUACUUACACUAAGACGACAGAAAUAUGAAAAGUGGUAGGAAUGAGAAACACCAAAAAGGGCAGUACUAGUUUAAAGAACCUGCUGACCAACAAUGAAUGUUGUGAAGACAACCACAUCAAAAGUAUCAAGUAAUGGUACAGCAAACCCAGGACCACUAGGGAAUAAGUCAACAUGGUGGACUGCUUAUUUGGAAGAAGAUGAAGAUGUUAAAAAGAACAUGGCAAGAAGGGAAAAAGGGGAUAUGAGGACAAGAAAAUCAUGUGGGUGAAGCUAAUCAUGGAAGAUGCUGAGUGGCUCUGAGCCAGACUGGCACAGCAAAACAGGAAAAUAUGUCUGUUUUGCUCUGACCAUAUGUGUGUCUGACUUGCUUCUGUGCUCAGAAGAGAAACUGAGGUGCUUUCCUAAAACAGGGGGCACAUAGGGAACACUUCCUAAAGCUGCAAAGUUGAGCUCAGUAGGGAUAAAUGGUGACCUGAAAGUCAACUUCCUGUUUUGGCUUCCCCAACUGACAGUACCACAUGCAGAAAC